rnacentral:rRNA from 1 species
UACAGAGGGUGAGCAAGCGUUGUUCGGAAUUAUUGGGCGUAAAGGGCGCGUAGGCGGCGCGGAAAGUCGUCGGUGAAAGCUCGGGGCUCAACCCUGAGUCUGCCGGUGAUACUCCCGCGCUCGAGCUCGACUAGGAGGCAAGAUGGAAUUCCGGGUGUAGCGGUGGAAAUGCGUAGAGAUCCGGAAGAACACCGGUGGCGAAGGCGGUCUGCUGGGGUGAGGCUGACGCUGAUGCGCGACAGCGUGGGGAGGCAA